UACAUGCCAAUGAACGAAACUCCAGAAACUGUCCACCUGAGACUGUCCCUUGGCCCGUAGGUCCUGACACAAGGUUAGAAUUCUAGCUCUUCCAGAGUGGUAUCUCACUGAUGGCUUGGGCCCCCCCCGGAAGGAGGCCUUCUUCGCCUUCCACCUAAGCUGCGCAGGAAAGGCCUAAACCCAAUCUCAGGGAAUAGUGAAGCUUCAUAGGGUCUUUCUAUCCAGAUGCCGAUAGUCCGUAU
rnacentral:lncRNA from 1 species